rnacentral:tRNA from 1 species
AGCGGGGUGGGGAAGUCAGACUAUCUGGGCAAAGUCAUCCCGGCGGGCUCAUAACCCGCAAAUCAGUAGUUCAAAUCUACUCCCCGCUA